UGGGGGGAAGGAUGAAGCCCCCCACCUUCCCUCCACAUGGUCUCACUGCUAGUCACCCUAUUUUAUGUUCUCAUGAUUUUUAUUUGUAUAACUUCGUGGGGUUUAAGUACAAUGAUGCUGCAUUGUACUGUGUGAAGUCAGGGCCUUCUGUGCAUCUGUCGAGGGUGCAAUGCACACGGCACCCCCGAGCAGCCACCCAUCCUCCUUUCCCUCCACCCUGCGAGGCCCCGUUGUCCAUCUGUCCACACUGCUCCACGAGCACACGUGACUUAGCUCCCCCUUGUGAGCCGCUGCUUGGGGUGAGCAUGCUUCCUGCUGGAUGCUUCUCUAUGUAAGCACCUGCCUGAGUGUCAGCCCUCUUAAGGUGAACCGCUCAGUGUCAUUCGUACAUUCACAAGUUUGUGCCGCCAUCGUCAUGGUCUGAUUCCAAAACAUUUUCAUCACCUCCAAGAAAGCCUUGUACCUGGCAGCAGUCACUGUCUCUAUGGAUUUGCUUAUUCUGGAUAUUUCAUAAAGAUAGAAUCAAACAGCAUUUGGC
rnacentral:antisense_RNA from 1 species